rnacentral:lncRNA from 1 species
GUCAUUUUAGCCAUUUUAAAUUUGAGAAAAAUAUCCGCGGUCACAAUGUAUUUAAUGUUAAUAAUUAUAGGCCUUCAAGACGGAGCGUUGGCUCACCCCGAACAGCAAUCUCAGCUUGUUUUUGCAUAAAAAUUGUUUCCAGGUUCAAGCAAUACUGAUGUUUCUUAAAGUAAGGAAAUCGAAGGAAAAGGGGUAAUUUUUAGC